UUCGACCUGAGCUCAGGCAAGACUACCCGCUGAACUUAAGCAUAUCAAUAAGCGGAGGAAAAGAAACUAACUAGGAUUCCCUUAGUAACGGCGAGCGAACCGGGAAGAGCCCAACUUGAAAAUCUCCAGCCUCCGGCUGGCGAAUUGUAGUCUAGAGAAGUGCUCUCUGUCCCAGUCUGGUCCCAAGUCCCCUGGAAAGG
rnacentral:rRNA from 1 species